rnacentral:lncRNA from 1 species
GGAGAAGUCUGACAGUUCCCAUCAAUUCUAUUAUCAGUCCCACAUAUGAAGAAGUGGUCAAAGGGGAGGGGAUGCCUAUCCCGAAGGAACCUUCCAAAAGGGGAAACUUGAAAAUCAAGUUUAACAUCAAGUUCCCUACCAAGCUUACCUCAGAGCAGAAAACUGGCAUCAAACGGUUAUUAACAUCUUCAUAGAGGCUGGUGGUAGCUCUCCCUACCAUCUACCAAACUUGUGAAAGCUUGCAUUUGUUUGGUUUGCUAGUAUUUUUGUUCUUUUUGUUUUCUGGAUUGGAAAUUCACGCCUUGUUGAAUUUGGGGAUUUGAUCACAGCAUUUGACUAGGAGGUUGUUAAUUUCCACAUUCCAUUUCUCUUCUUUUCCAAUCUUUUCUUAACUUAUGUAGAAAUGCUGGAUAGACAAGAAAUUGACACUUGAAAUUUGUAAACUAUUUGUUAAGCUCUUUAGGGUAUUUACCCCUUAAAAUUCCCCUCUUCCCCUCCUUCUCCCCUCUUUGCUUCUGCAUCUACCACUCUCUCUGAGUCUACUGUGUAGAUAUUUGUAUUGUGUGACUUGUGUACUAGUAAGAUUGUCAAAGUUGGGCUGGGUAGGUGAGGAAAUGGGUUAGGAUUAGGCUAGUUUAGGGUUUUAUUUUCCUUCCAUUCUAAUCCAAACAGAAAAAGAAGAAGCAACCGGGACGAGUCGUUUAUCGUUAUAGUCCUACAAGCAUAGGCAGCCCAUUUGUAUAAGGAAUGCAACUGAGGAACGAACUGAACUGAAGCCAGACUUCUCUUUUCCUUGUAUUUGGUAAAGAAAAUUGGAAUGAACCAACUACUAAAGUCUUCCACUUAUCUUCUUCGAAAGUCUUGGCCACUAUCAAAGAGAAAAAUACUACCUACUCUAUUAGUUUAGCAUUAAUCUAAUAACACGAAAAUUAAACAAGAGGGGCAUAGCUUUUUCUCUUACAUGAUCAUUCACAUCAUAAAAACUGAACCCUCGGGAAGUCUUCUUUAUUUAUUUAUUUUUUUGGGUUCGGUCGGAAAACCCUCGAGGAAGUUCACAGCAAAAAGUUUCGAACUUUCCUGAAGUGGUAAGCCACGUGUAAGCUGGUGAACAAAACAGUUUUGCUGCUACAGUCGCUUGACCUACUGUAUGUAGCUAGCAAUUCUUGUGGUGGUCAAUGGUGCUUUGCUUUCUGUUCUGCCUUGUCUAGGAAGUCUUGCAAAAUUACCCUUUUGGACCCCUUGGCUUUGCAUAUUCCAUCCAUGAUUGUGAUUGAGAGAGAGCUCUGUUUCUUUUGGCUGCCACCCAUCAAUGAUUGAGCUCGCCAUAUAAAUAUGGUGGCUACUUGAACAAGCUUCAGCCACUAACCGGAGUUUACAGGGACAGAAAAUCCAAGGCUUUUCUUACCAGGGAGAUAGAGAGUCAUGGGCGCCGAUUACUAUAAGAUUCUUCAAGUACCACGAAACGCCAGUGAAGUUGACUUGAAGGAAGCUGCCGAGGCCAAAUUCAACCAACUCUGCCAAGCCUACGACGUAUGUUAUUGUAAUGUCAUCUUUUUAAUUUUACUUCGGAACAAAAAUUUCUCAAAAUUCCCUCCUAAAAUUUAUUGCUAAUCAAAUAUUGGGCAGGUUUUGAGCGAUCCUCGAAAGCGAGCAGUGUACGAUCAGUACGGCGAGGAGGGUUUGAGUGGAGGGUCAAGGCCGGGCGGGUCUCGGAGCCCAGAAGAUAUAUUCGCGGAGUUUUUUGGAGGGAGAGGCGGCGGCAUGGGCCAGUCACGGGAUGACGGGUUUCGGGACCCGGACGAUGUGUUCUCCGACUUUUUUGGACAGAGGGUUAACAUGGGCGAGUCACGGGCCGGUGGUUCUCGGUCUCGGAGCCCCGAAAUCAGGAGUAUGAAUGGCGAAAAUAUAUUCGAGUCGCUUAUAGCCGCAGCGGAGGGCAAUGGUCGGCAGAGGAAAGCAGCGGCGAUAAAGAGGACAUUGCCUUGCAGCUUGGAGGAGUUGUACAUGGGCAACACCAGAAAGAUAAAGAUUUCUAAGGAUGUUGUUGGUGCUAGUGGGUAAGAAAUGAACAAAUACCUCACAACUUCACAAGACAAGAUCAUGUGCCUCUAUUUGGUUUAUCUUGUCAUUGAUCUACUUACCCUUUUGUAUCCUUCUAAUUUACUGAAAAAUUGAAAAGGAUUUUAAAGAAUUCGGACUUGUUUUGUUUUGUUUGGUCCUACAGAAGAAGAAGCACAGUGGAGGAAGUUGUAAAUAUUGAGAUCAAGCCUGGUUGGAAAAAGGACACCAAAAUCACUUUCCCAGAGAAAGGGCAUGAUGUAGAGCGAGGUGUUAUACCAGCCGACAUCAUCUUUAUCAUUGAGGAGAAGCCUCAUAGUUUUUUCAAGAGGGAUGGGGAUGAUCUCGUUGUCACUCAGAACAUUUCUCUUGCGGACGCUCUGACAGGACACACAGCGCUGAUGACAACGCUUGACGGGAGAAAUCUGCGGGUCUCCAUUGAUUCGAUCAUCGGUCCCACCCACGAAGAAGUGGUUAAAGGGGAAGGAAUGCCUAUCCAGAAGGAACAAGGCAAAAAGGGUAACUUGAUUCUCAAGUUUAACAUCAGGAUCCCCAAGCUUACCUCAGAGCAGAAAACUAGCAUCAAACAAUUGUUAACAUCUUUGUAAAUGUUGAUUGUACCAUCGAAGUUUUUCUUCUGCUUUUCAUUUUCUCUGCACCCAAACAAUAACUUUCUAGGUUUCCCUUCGCCAUCUACCAAGCUUUCCUGAUU